rnacentral:rRNA from 1 species
AUUGAACGCUGGCGGCAGGCCUAACACAUGCAAGUCGAGCGGAUGAAGGGAGCUUGCUCCUGGAUUCAGCGGCGGACGGGUGAGUAAUGCCUAGGAAUCUGCCUGGUAGUGGGGGAUAACGUCCGGAAACGGGCGCUAGUACCGCAUACGUCCUGAGGGAGAAAGUGGGGGAUCUUCGGACCUCACGCUAUCAGAUGAGCCUAGGUCGGAUUAGCUAGUUGGUGGGGUAAAGGCCUACCAAGGCGACGAUCCGUAACUGGUCUGAGAGGAUGAUCAGUCACACUGGAACUGAGACACGGUCCGGACUCCUACGGGAGGCAGCAGUGGGGAAUAUUGGACAAUGGGCGAAAGCCUGAUCCAGCCAUGCCGCGUGUGUGAAGAAGGUCUUCGGAUUGUAAAGCACUUUAAGUUGGGAGGAAGGGCAGUAAGUUAAUACCUUGCUGUUUUGACGUUACCAACAGAAUAAGCACCGGCUAACUUCGUG